rnacentral:rRNA from 1 species
AUUGAACGCUGGCGGCAUGCCUUACACAUGCAAGUCGAACGUGAAAGCGGGGCAACCCGCAAGUAGAGUGGCGGACGGGUGAGUAAUACAUCGGAACGUGUCCAGUAAUGGGGGAUAACCUAGCGAAAGUUAGGCUAAUACCGCAUACGAUCUGCGGAUGAAAGCGGGGGAGUGCGGCACUAAAGGCUUUUGGCGAAGGUGGCCAAAGGUGAGUCAAGAGCUUUUAGUGCUGCACCUCGCGUUAUUGGAGCGGCUGAUGUCUGAUUAGCUAGUGGUGAGGUAAGGCUUACCAAGGCGACGAUCAGUAGCUGGUCUGAGAGGA